AGUAACUACUACUACAGCAACUCAAAGCACCUUCAGGGUGCAGAUGGCUAUGUUCAGAAAAUGUAUUAACAUCAUCUAGCCAGAGGAGGAGAAAGAACCCAUCCCUACAGUGAAGAGACAAGUCAUGUGAGGAUGAGACAAGUCAUAUGAAUAUGAGAACAUCACUUUCUGUGAUGGUGUCAGAGACAUUUGGUGAAAUGAGCAGAGGGUGUUUCAACUCACAGAGAGAACUCACAGAGUUCAAAGUCCAAAAAACUUUCUUGGUUUGGAAAGAUAGUGCACAAUAAAGUAUUGUGUAAAUUAGCAGUGCAUCAUUUUAUUGGACACUAAUUUCCUUCCCAGCUCUGUCCAACAGAGUUUACCAGUUGCUACCUGAUCCCUCAAGGUGAACAGGUGCAUCACAAAUGAUACAACUCCACAAUGUAAUCAAAGUUCAGGUGGGAAAUCCUUUACAGCAAGAGGCAUUUCCCAAUGCACUGCUAUGACAACAGAUGAUUUUUAGAUGAACUGACUGAAUUUUUACUAUUCAAAGCUAAACUGAACACUUGAACUUGCAGCAAUGAGUUUAUAAAUUGAACCCAUUCUGAAGUAUCCCAGGACCUGAUGAUACUCUUUGAAGGACACAGAAAGGGAAUCUAAUAAGCUUCUACCAAAACAACCUUGUUGUCAAGUCAAAGGUAGAAAUGACAGCUUCCCAAAUGUACCAGCAUAACUAUGCUAAGAAUCAUGUAUUUGAUUCUACUCUAGAGGACAGAAAGAAGUUCUUGUUUUUCUGCCCUUACUCCUGGGUUUCCAAAGUUAUAUUUCUCCUUAGAACUCCUUGGGAAUCCCUGAAAUGAGAGUAAAUUUUCUGAGACAAGAAUGCUGUGAUUUUCUAUUUUAUACCAUGCUUUAGUACCUCAUUGUUCCUCUCAGUAGAGAACACUGUGUGGAAAUACUUGUGUCCUCUUCAGAGGAAUCAUUUGUCUGCUUGACAACUAUUCCCAACAGUUAUUUUUAUCAACUUGGAUAAUAUUUCUGAAUUUUAUCUUUGCUAUGUGGAAGCAAAUUAUAAAUGUAUGCUUUGAGAUGAAAGAUUCCUAUUGACUUCACCAGAUUUUCAUUAUAUAUUAUAUAAUUUCUCUUCUAUAAAUGACUAGUUCCCUUCCCCUUUGGUCUCAAGGGACCAUUGCUGAAUCCCUUCACCUUUUAGAACUCUAAUAUCUUUCAGUCUGGAGAAAACAUUAAUACAGGAGUUAUGGAACUUUUUUUCUUAAACUUGAAUGGAAACAACUAAAAAAAUUUGUAUUAAAUACCAUUAAUUUGCAGUCACCACAGUUAUAAUUAAUGUUAGAUUAUCAGUCUUCUGGUCAUUGCUAUUUUUCAUUUAUUUCUUUGCCUAUAGCUUUUCUGCCAGCGUGUGGCUUUCCAUUUUCAAAUCCAGUUUUGCUAAUAAUAUCACACACCACAUAUUUUGAUUCAUCCGUUGAAGAAUGAUGAAAUAGACUUAUCACUCAUAAGCAACUACAUCAAAGUAUCCAUAAUUCUUUACUAUCUGGCUCUGGAAGAAUAUGACAUUCUGAAUGUCAUUUUUACUCCUCACAUGAUAUUUAGCUACAUUUCCUUCUAAAUCUAAUUUGAAUUCUCUGUCAUGUAAAAUCUAACAGGAAGGUAGGGAGGCUGUAGCAGAAUCAAGAAUUAAAUUAUUUCCUCCAAGCACACUGGUUAAGAACUAUUAUUAUUAUUAUUAUUAUUAUUAUUAUUAUUAUUAUUUCACAGCAUUUUGCUUUGCUACAAUAGCAGUUUUUUGGAAUAAAACUAAGCAAAAUAAGUAAAUAAAUAAAAAUAUGCAACUGACUGGAGGUCCUAUAUAGAACAUAUUUUUAUUUUUUCCCCAUUCCUAACCCUUUCAGUUUUUACUUACCCUUCUUUUUAUUUUUUUAUCCAUCGACUCAUACCAUAAGCUCAGUCGGUUCACGUAGGUAAGCAGAGCUGCCGGCAUAAAGGACACUAUUCCCAAUCACAGUCUCUGGGCAUUCCUGCAGUAUAAAUCAUGACAUUACAGGAGUCUUCUCUCCCUUUACUUGCUGCCAUCUCCAGACAAUGGCUUAUAAUGAGUCCUGCAAACUGCAGAACAACCAAGGAAAACUAUCAAAGCGCUAAGAUGUUUUGACUGUAAUCUCUUUGAGAGCUUGGUUUUAUCAGCAGUAUGAUCAGAGUGCUCAGCAUCUCACAUGCUGGCUACUAUCCCAAGUAACCUAAUCCCUCAUUUCAACCCUUUUUAACCGGAUUUUAAUUAGACCAUGCUAAUUUGUGUGUAUGCAUGCUCAUAUACACAAAUUACCAUCAUACACGCUCAUGCACACACACAUACAAAGUUGUUUAUUAAAAAACUCAUUUUUUUUUUUCACUAACUAAGCAAGCAGCUUCCACAUGGCUUUAACUUUAAUUUCAUGCUGGUAACACUGCACUACAUAUGCUCAUUGCUUUAUGUAUCCUGAAGCCACGCCACAUGGAUCAAACAUACUGCCAGCCUUCAGCUCAGUAGAAAAGCUGCACAAAAUAAAGAUGAUAAAAACAGCCUAAAGAAACUGUUUUUCUAUCAAGGAAAGACAAUGCAAAUGUAGGCAAUAAUAUUAAUGAAUGCUACUUGCAUAUUUUUUCAGUUGUGUAAGUAUUUCAAUAACUGUAUGUAUAUAUAAUAAAAUAUCUUCCAAGAUAGGAUGGGACUGAGUAGAAUUAUAUGUCAGAGGUACAUAUAAAGUCACAUUCUGAAAAGGUUCUUUUUCGGAGUGGGAUUUUCAUAAGUUGUCAGGUUUUGUUCUUAAUACAAAUAUGCUACAAUGCCAAGGUCUUGUGAAGGAGUCUGGUCAAAAUCAGAAGUUCCAGUCUGGAAAGUUAUUCCCCCAUAGAAAAUUAUUUUAAAAUAUGUGUUUUAAAAAAGCAGCACUUUUUUUCUUGAAGGACAACUUGUGAUAUUUUCUUUAGAUGUCGCAGUAAAGAUUUUUAUUUCCUUUACUCACUCCAUCCAGGCAGGAUAUGUGUGGAACCCCUGAGAUGAGGAGCUACUUUCUGUGGGAGCUGCAGCAUGGCUCAGGUGUGUCGACAAGUGCUUUAAAGGAAGAGCAAGGUCAUGGUUCAUCACACAGAAGCCUACAUGGAUGAUUACUUUUGAAUUUCUUCAAUCAUGGCCAUGAAAAUAUUUCAAAAAAUUUGGUAGAGGGUGUAAGAAAGGGAGUAAUGGCUUUCUUUUUCUUAAUGCAGAUACAGCAAGCUGCUGAUUUAGCUCUUUGAAGACUGGGAUUUGAGUAGAAUGGAAUAGCUGGAAAGGGACCUUCAAAGAUUGUCCAGUCCCACUGCCUGACCACUUCAGCUGGUGCAGCAUAGCCACAGUAACAAGAAAGUCAAUGGUUCUGUUUAAAAAUGAUUUUUAUUUUUGAGGAGGCUAUAGGUCAUCCAGGCAUCUGGAUAUGCAACCCCAGCUUUGGAAGAGCUACUGCUAGAUGAGGAUGAUACUUUCGGAAGUUUCUGGAUGUUUAGCCUUCUUGAAAAUCUGCCACUCUAUACAGUUUUCCUGAGAUUUCUGGAGGAACUCAACAUGUUCCAUGUGCAGUUGAUCUGCCCUGGAACAGCAGGGGUAAAUCUUCACUGGAUGCAAAACAAUGAAGAUGUAUGGAAGAAGAAUGGAAUAAUACAUCAGCUGAAUGCAUGAUCUCCAUGAUUAUAUGACAAAGGAAAAAAAAAUAAGGUAGGAUUGUUGAAGAAAUUUAAAAUGGCAAUCCAUUUCCUACCUUUCCAGACAGCUGCAAACCAAACACUUUUCCUGAGAUUGAAGACGAAACAAGAGGAACAGAUGUUGUUCCACAAUUGGCAAAUUAAUUGAAAAAUUAACACAGGGCCUUGUUCUUAAAGAAACAGGAUCUUGUCAAAAUUCCAACAUAGAAUCAUAGAAUCACAGAAUAUCCUGAGUUAGAGGGGACCCACACAGAUCAUAAAAUCUAGCUCCUGGCUUCACGUAGGACCUCACAAAAAUCAGACCUUAUGUCUGACUGCAUUGUCCAGAAGCUUCUUGAACUGCAGCAAGCUCAGAGGGGUUUUAAAUACGCCUUUGCUUAUUAAGAAGUAUUAACAUAUAUCAAAUUUAUUGCUUGUCUAUUCAAAUAUUUAUUUAUUUCUUUACAUAUCUCAAAUGGUACUUUGCUUCCACUACUGUUUUUCUUUCUCAGUCUCUCAAACCAUUUCCCUGAGAUCAGUCUACAGCGCUUUUUCAGUCACCUCUCAUUCAGUAAGACUUUGUGAAACACUGACUUGUUGGUCUCAGGAGAGACAUUUUCCCCACUGUUGCCAGUGCUGCUGGUGUUUUAUGGUAACAAGGACCAAGGGGAAAACACUUGUCGGUGGGACAUCUUGAUAAACAGCCGUUUUGCUACUACAAUUACCAUAUUUCUUGAUUACCAGGAAAUAGGCACUUGAUAAACAUGUGGUUUCAUUGUUUACCCAUUUUGGCUUUCAAUUAGAACCAGAAACCUAUAAUGCACAUUAGAAUACUGCUUAGUUGGGUUUGAAACUAGGCAGCUAAUUAAUGACUAGACAUUUGCACAUAUUUAUUUAAGACAAUCUCCAGAGUCUUCAGUGACUGGUUUUUACAAAGAUAAUAGGCUUGUUAGAAAGCUAGAGUAAUAGCAUCUCCUUUUGGAGUUUUUUUCUUGCUCUUUAAAUCAUUUGUUAUUAUUUUUAAUUUAAAUACUUUUGUCUGGGCAUCAGGUAUUCAGUACAAGCAUAGCCUUUCCCCACACAUGGUAGACUGGAUGUUGUAGUUUCCAAGUUUUUACCUGUUUUUACCUGUGUUUACAGCAUUUUGGAGCUGCUGACCAAAUCAUGUUAUCUGCACUGCUUCAUUGUCAUCGUUUUUGCUUAGCUGCUAAGUAUGGUUCAUCAGUUGUACUUUGUCGGGCUAUCAUUUGGUAGUUCCUCCUAUUAGUAGCUGAUGCACAAACUUAGUACUAAUGUACUGCUGAUAAGUAUUACAGCAUCUCUUGGCAGAUCUUGAAGAUAAAGCACUUUAUCCAAAAUCAUAUGAGCAUCAUCUUCUCUGGUUUCAGUCACCAACUACUAAUGAGCUACACACGUUUAUUCUUGUGUGAAGUCUGUGUAAGCAAAGACUGAAAUCAUGAUCAGUCAUGACAGAAGAUUUAUCACAUUGAAAUGUGCAUGCUCAGGUAUCAGAAAGAGGAGAGAACCUUAGGUGGGUGCCAUAGAGGAAGAUAGAACAACUGACCGGCAGCAGCAGCAAGUGCUCAGUUAAAGUGGUCAUUUGAUAAUAGGAGAUUAGGCAUAAGUUUCCCUCAUGACCUCCCAUCUCAAUAACGAUAUAUUUUGAGCCAGGUUUUUUUAUGGCUGUAAGUGAAAGCUUUUUGCCUUUUAUCUUAAGCUGGUGAAAAUUCAGGAUGACUUAUUAGAUCAAUGGACAGCACUCGUUUAUGAAACAGGGCAAGUAUAACAGCACUGCCAAGCAGUAAACAGCAUUUAUUUGCAAUUGAAAUGUGCCAUAUAAAGUGUGUACUACUUCAUAUACCUUAAGGUACGAGGAGAGGUCACUUUAAGCAGCCAGUAAUUAACAGCACAUGAAAACAUAAGAAUCCAGACAACUUUUCAGACUACAUUAGAUGCUUAAAUCUCUAUUAUUUUCAGUGAGAGUUAAGCACAUAAUUUAGAAAAAAUCUGUGUUUACUUGUAUUAAAAAAAAAUGAGACUGAAACUUUAAGUUUAAAGAAAAAUUUCCUCAUAGUUCAUAUCUUUCAGUUAGCAAAAAGUUACACAUGCAUUUGUGUGUUGCACAGAUGACCAUCCACACAGUCUAUAUAAGGUGUGUUCAGGAAUAUACAUAUAAAAUGUAUGUAUAUAUGAAAAUAUGCUAUUAUUUUAUAUUAGUACAUGGCUGAGCAUUUAUGCUACUGCUAUGCAAAAUGAGGUAGGCCAGCUACUAACAAAUGUUAAAAGAUAAAAGUCACAUUUUCAUCAUACUUUGUGUCUGUAUGCAUUAUAUAUAUCCACUGUCCCUUUUUUAGACUUCAGUGACUCAUCUUGUUUUGAAGUUGCUCAUUCAUUUACAUAACUGAAAGUUGUGCUGAUACCCCUUAGAAACGUAAGUUCCUUACGUGAAGAACAUUUCAAAUGUUUUUAGCAUAAAUAAUGUGGUCAUUACUCCUAAAUGACACACACUGCUUAUUAAUAAGGCUAAAAAUAGCUUUUUUAAUACCCAAAAUGCAAUUAUGGAAACAAUGCAGAAAUAAGCACAACAUGACCAUUUAUGCAAUUUAAUAGAGUGAUUCAGUGAACUGCUAGAAUCAUAUGGCUGUAAGACAGCAUCAUGCUUUGCAGCCACAUCUGUUGUCAAUAAUCUAACUUCCACUGAAAUGCAUGACAAGACACCCUCUUGGUUCCACCAGAAAUCUGCACUGAUUUCUGUUGAUUUCACUAGGAAAUGGAUCUUUAUCAAUAUGCUGAUUGAAAUUCAAGACUGCAACCCUCAUAGGUUACCUGGUGUUUCUUCAGAAGUUUGAUAAUGGCCUGUGUCUUCCAGUUGGUCAUAAUUAUAAAACAAGAGAUUAAAUUCUGUUUACAUCACACAUUUCUGCAAAAGAAAAUGAAAUGCAAGAAGUUGAUCUUGUAAUUUGAAAUAGUUUGUUGGUAUAAUCCCUCUGCUGUUGCAUGUAAAGACAUGGAGGUUUUCAAGAAAAUGAUGUGUGACACUAAGAGACAUGGUUAGAGGACAUGGUGGGGAUGGACUGAUGGUUGGAUUGUAUGAUCUUAGUGGUCUUUUCCAACCUUAAUGAUUCUGCGAUUCUGUGACAAAUUCCUUUAUGAAGUAGGCCUCAGUGAGGCAAUCUGGCUUCCCUCAAAUCACACUUAUAUUUAAAAUAUAAAUCUGAAAUAUUUCUGAUAUAAAAGAAGUUAGGAAGUAUUCCCUAUGGAAAUGUGCAUCCACAGACAUGUUUUUGUCAGUUACAAAAUAUACAUUAACUGUUGGAAUCCGCACUUACUUUUUCUAACGCAUCUUAUUUAUGGAGAGAAGAAAAAGUUCUGACAGAAAACACUGAUUUUAAAAACUAGAGUAGGGUGGGAGACAGUCUGCAGCAGCAGCUGCUGGGUGAGAACACUUCUCCCGACCUUUUAAGACACAGCAAACAAUAAACACAUUAAGAAAUCUCAGGGGAAGAUGGGUGUGGUUUAGGAACUUAAUCAGUUGAAUAUGGACUCACGUUUCCUCCGUGGAACAUGGCCAAAGCUUUACUUCUUGAGAUGUUUCUUGACCUUGAAUGUAACUUCACUGAGACACGCAACUGAAAGACCAUCAGUUUUCAGGUAAGGACACGUGUAUAUCUUGUUCUUAAUGGCAACUGUACAUGCUAUAGGGAUCCUAAAAUGGUAACAGGUAUAAUAAGCUGCUGUUUAAACAUGAAGGAAUAGAUCUGUGAGUCACUUCUUAACUUGCUGCACUUAAGAUAAAAAGUUCAAAAUCUCACUUUGGUUAACAAACAACAUUACAGGAAAAUUUUGCACUUGAAAGAUAGGGUUGGAUUCUACACUUUUUCAUGUGGAACUACCUCAUCAUAAUUUUGUAAUAUUUGAAAAUUGGAAACAAAUUGGGCAGCAAAUUGUCCUGAUCAUGUUUAAAUGUCAUAUUUAUGUGUUACUGGAGAAUUGAGAAGUUAGGAGAAACUGCACACACAGUUGUCUUAGAUUUGCUUCUUCCUAUAUAUAACGCUCUCUGCAGUGUAAACUCAAUCAAAUAUGCUUUUUUUUUUUUUUCAUUAAGAAUAUGUAUUUCAAUUUUAAAAAGUACUUCAGAGGGAGCGGAAGUUUUGAUGUUCUAGCACUGUAACUUUAACCUCUUACAUUAGGAUAGCAUCAUCCUGGACAAAAAUAUUGUCAGUAAUACAGGACAACUGUGGUAUCUGAAUAGUUUUUCACAUUUAGCUUCCUAUUUUUAGUUCAUGAUCGGAAAAGACCUAAUUCUGGAAGCAAAGAAGAAAAACAUGCAAUAGUAGAGGUCAGUAAGUACCCAUAAAAAGAAAGAAACAUAAAUUUAGUGAUGAAGCAGUGGAGGAAAGUUGCAAGAAUACAUGCAGUGGUAAAUUCUGAAAGGAGAAAGGAAGUAUACAUACUAAUGAAGACAGAGCCAGCAGGAAAGCAUCCCAAUUUCAGCCACACUACAGCAGUAAAACUACAGAUGGACUUUCUUAUCAAGGCUGCUGGAAAAAGACACAAUUUUUCUCUCUGAUUUUUUGUUGGGUGAGGAUGUCUUAAGUCUGUCCAUUAACUUCAUGUACUCCUUCCAGCUCCCUUCAACGAGAUGUCAGAAUCUACAGAGAUUCCACAAUUCUGAGAAAUAAUUCUAGUUCCAUGUGAGUUAUACAGGGUGGUAUCAUCUGAAAAAAUGCACUGACUAUAACAUCUGCAAUGGUGGAGCAUCAGUUACAGAAGUGAUUCACUCAGAUUUUCCCACCCUCAGCCAAUCCUUCAUGUCAUCUUAUUCCACCUGCUGUCUAAGCCGGAAGUGCUGCUGCUGUGCACAGGCAAGGCUAGCAAAAGUAGGAAUUUUAAACAGAUCUUAGAGAUUAUUCACAAAAAACAGAGUAUUAAAAUGUGUAACAGACAGUGCCAGAAAGCUAAAUUAUUCUAAGUUACAUAUAUAAAUUAAUGCAACAGGAUACCAGUGUUUAACCUGGUUGAACUCAGACCAUUUGAUGUAUAUCCCACUUGUAUUGAAUGGUUAGCAAGUAGAAAAUGGGCCAAGAAUUAUUCCCAUUUCAAACUUACAUCCACUUAAAAUAGACAAUUCAGUGGGAAAAUAUUCAUCAUAUUUGCCAGGAAUUACUUACAAUAGUUACAAUUACUUAAAGUUGUUAAUUAAACCAUUUUGAAGGGUAGAUACAGAAAAAAUUUACAGAGAAGAGAUAUAAUUAUGGAAAAACAGAGACCAUAUUGCUGAGUUUCAUUCAAACAAGAUUUUUUUUUUUUUACUCACAGCCAUGCUGCCUUUCAUAUUAAGAACAAUAUGAAUUUUGUAUGCUGUUGUUGUCAGGAGGGAAAGAAGAAUUUCCUUCUGGUACCUCUUGCUGGCAUGCUUUCCCAGGACAAACCAACCUUGCCGCCAUUUUGCUUAGCAGAACCACUGUGGAGCCCUUAAUCCAGGAUCACUUUGGUCUCUAGACACUCUCUUCCUCCUUUUUUUCCAAAAGGGAGUUAGUAGAGAAAACCGAACCCGAGCUCUUUUACUCAGGGAUUAUGCAGGACUUGUUACCAUAAAGGUAAUUUUUACCUCUGACUAUUGUAAAGGAGGGGCUUAUAAGACAUUUUGGGUUACAGGUGUACAGCUUGAAAACUCUGUAACCCUUUUGUCUUGAAAAUGAAGGAAUCUGAGUGCAGUUCCAAAUACAAAAGUGGAAGAUCAUGGGCCAUACUUUACAUUUAAAUGUAAAUGACAGUAGGUCUGCAUUUGUCCUAAAUAAUGCCCACUGGAAUGUAGCUCAUGGUCAUUUCAACACAUUUGCAUGUAAAAUUACAUGCCCUUUCAAUCAUUACUUAGGUCUGCCAUCUUUGACACAAAGUAAUACAGACAUUGUCUUGAAAAUAUUUUCUGUAGUUAAAAAUAUUUGUCCCAGCAUUUUCCCUUUGCUUCAGUUUCCUUGAUUGCUGUAGCGGAGACCUCAGCUCAGCAACUUGCCCCUUGUUAUCUCAGAAUUAAAUUUUAUCUCUAGUUUCAUGUCUCUCUCAAACUACAGGGAGAUUUUUUUUAUCAUUCUCAGACUUUUCAUGUCUGUACUAAACCUCAAAGAGAUAAUUUUAUAAGAAUAAUUUUACUCUGACAUUAUGGAUCUGUUUCUCAUUUCAGUGCAAAGCUUUGGGAAUAGAGUUUGGAUGCCCACAUUCUAAGCAUAUAUCAGUAAAUAAUUGCAAGUGAACAUUUCAUUAAAUCGUAGAAUAUCCUGAGAUGGAAGAGACCCACAGGGAUUACUGAGUCCUAAUCCUGGCUCCACACAGGACCACCCAAAAUGAAACAAAAGGGAUGUAAUUUUGUUAAAAGAAAAUACAUCACAGAAAGUAUCUUCAGAAGUACAUUAGUGAUGUUUACUUGGUAUCGGUUUGAUGUAAUGAAUUUAUUAUAAAUUCACACCUGAUAUGUUAAGACAGAUCAAUAAAGCAGAGAUAAGUUUUAUGUUUUCAAGAGGGGAGAACACAGAGCCAUUAUGGGGAAAUAUGUUUUGCAAGCUGGAAAGGCAGAAUAGAUUCACCAAACUGACAGGAGGAGCAGAAGAAUUCUCCCCACCUGUUUUCCUCUCUGUUCCUCUCCUCUGGCAUGCUACAGAAUAUAUUUUGAACAAAUGGGCUUCAAAAACCUCCCGCUGCUUUUCGAAUGGGUAUAUAUUGCUGUAAAAUUCAGGUCAUGUUUGUUCAGGAUUUGUAUAAAAGUAAAAAUAAUACACAUUCAAUUUUUUGGUGUGACUGCAAUCCCGGGGAGAUAACUUCAAUUUCUUGGUGUCUUUGGCCCUCCCACGCUGCUGGUGUAUUCUCAGGGACCAGCCAAAGAAAGACAAACCAUCAGCUUAGAUCCAGAGACAAAAAUAAUAGUGGUUCAACGUCACACAGUCACUUAUCCCCAUGAAAAUUAAUUUCACAGCUCUUGUGAGAUGUCUGUGAAGUCUCACAACUACAGCCUAAUUGUAGCCUUAAAAGCACAUGAUAUGAAUUACAUUUCUUCCUAAUAUAUUGCUGCAUCUCUUUCUUUCAUCAGUUUCUGGAAUGCAAAAGUAAAUUCCCUUUCUAUCUGCUGAAUGCACACUGGUUUGACAUUUCAAAGAUUCCACAGUUUUUUUUGUUUGUUUGUUUUUUAAUAUCUCAUUAUACGUAUCACAUAUAGGAAAUCUUUGAUUUAUACUUUCUUUGUCGGUCAAUAUUUUCUGAAUGCUUGAUAUGAGUGGGGAACUAGUGACUUCCAACAUUACUCAUUUACAGAAAUCAUUCAGAAUUCAAAUUCAGUGACUGAACUCCUCAGAAUAAUCUCUGCUCCCUUUUCACUCCCCAGGGAAAAAUAAAUAAAUAAUACAAGCUCAAAACAAAACAGCAACAAAAAAUCCGCCUUGUUGCUUCGCUCUUUCCCAGUUCUGGUUCAUACACUAAGCUUGGAUUUUUCACUGCAAGCAGACUUCCGUAGUGUUUUGUUCAAUUCUCAGAGGCCCUGAUCUUCAGCAUUUUGAGGAUUAACACCUGUACCUGUGUUUUUUCCCUGUUCCAAGGGAUGGAACAUCUCCUCUGCAAGGACAGGCUGAGAGACCUGCGGCUGUACAGCCUGAGGAAGAGAAGGCUCCAGGGAGACCUGAGAGUGGCCCUUCAGUUUUUAAAGGGAAGUGUGUAUGAAGCAAAGGUGUAGCAAUGAAUUCCUCCAUGCAUCCACUGACGUGCUUGCUGAACAUUUUUGGAGACCAGACAGUGGAUGUGAGCACAGUGAAGUGGUGGAUGCUGCAUUUUAGCUGUGGUGACAGCAGCAGUGUGUCAUCUCUGUUGGUGCAGAUUGUUAUGAGUAUGGCAUGCAGGCUCUUGUUCAUUGCUGGUGAACAUGCUCAGCUGAUGGUGGCGACUGCUGAAAAACAGUGUUUUGUUCUGAGAGUUUGCUCUAUCAAACAGCGUUAUUGUGCUCUUUGUAUCUAUUGUAUUUUCCAUAGAAAUAAGUAGGAGGCAUUGCUUUUGGAGCAACCUACAUACUUUUAAACAAAAAAGUACUACAGAGCUUCACUAAUAAACACGUCAUUGCAUAAAA